rnacentral:lncRNA from 1 species
UCUGCCUCGGCCUCAGCAGCUUGUGCUCUGCUGCGGGAAGCCGGGCUGGCGCUCACUGCGGUGCUGGCUUCCGUGCAAACGAUCAGAUUUGCGAGGCAACGCGUGCUGCAGCUCUGCCCGCCAGUGACCACAGUGACUAAGAAGGAUGUCAGUGAUGGCAAUGGGUGUGCACUGCACUAGUGGACCGUCGAGAGUGGGACUUUGGUGGAGUGGAUCCAAG